CAGUAGCCGCGGUAAUAUGUAGGUGGCAAGCGUUGUCCGGAAUUAUUGGGCGUAAAGGGCUCGCAGGCGGUUUCUUAAGUCUGAUGUGAAAGCCCCCGGCUCAACCGGGGAGGGUCAUUGGAAACUGGGAAACUUGAGUGCAGAAGAGGAGAGUGGAAUUCCACGUGUAGCGGUGAAAUGCGUAGAGAUGUGGAGGAACACAGUGGCGAAGGCGACUCUCUGGUCUGUAACUGACGCUGAGGAGCGAAAGCGUGGGAAGCGAACAGGAUUAGAUACCCGAGUAGUCCCUGUCUCUUAUACA
rnacentral:rRNA from 1 species